CUCCCUAGGCACGGGCUUUACGCAUGUCAGUGAAGGUUCGCCUGAGACUGCGUUUUUGCUAGUUGAAAACUAUACAAUGACCGCUUCUGUUGAGCCUAGCUUGGCAGAGAAUUUUUGGCACUCAUCUCGCGAGA
rfam:Pseudomassariella vexata strain CBS 129021 BCR38scaffold_1, whole genome shotgun sequence.